AGCUGCUACGAUCCAGUUUCCCUGGCCCUGCCCCCAGAGAUUCUGACUUAGUAGGUAAAGAUGGAGGCCAGGAAUCUGCAGUUUAAAAAGCACGGAGGUGGUUCUGCUAUCUGUG
rnacentral:miRNA from 1 species